rnacentral:lncRNA from 1 species
UCGUACCAAUUCGUUCGAGAGCGGGAACUCGUCCACCCCAGCGAAAACUCGAAAACAGAGCAGAUGGCGGCCAAUGAAGCAGAGAGGAAGGUAGCGGAGGAAUCGCCGGCUGAGAAAGAGCGCGGCGCGGAGGAGGUCGUCGACAGGGAGCUCACGGCGCCACCGGGCUGGAGGAAAAAGGUUCGAUUUCGAUUCUUUCCAUCUCUUUUUUGGGGACCUCUGGUUCGUUCUUCUCUUCUCAUGCGCUAAUUUCUUGUUUCCUGCCUGUUUUUCUGCUUCUGAGACGAGAUCUUGGUUUCCUGCUUUGCAUGCUAGGGUUUCUGAGCUUUUCUUUGGCUGUUUCUUGUGGUUCCUUGAUCAAGAUUUAUUUUGGAGAUGUUUUGGUUAAUAUUAGGAUUUUGAGGCUGUGUUUGGUACGGACUUUGGGAGAUUUUGAGGUUCUAGGUGCUUGAUUGCGGCGAAUUAUAGUGUUUCCUUGCUGAAUCAGCUAGAUGAAGUGCUUUGGUGUUGGGGUGAUCUAGGGUUAGGUAUGGGUUGUUUGCUAAUGGUAAGUUGUUCCAGACGAUGAAAAUAUUUGGCUUGUGUUUAUCUUUUCGAUUCUCUGUACUGGCUAUAGGACUGCAGAGGAAAAGACCUGUGAUGUUUUGGUGCAAGCGGAGUGGAGGGAAAUACUGCUGAAUAUAAUUUUCGUACUAGGAUUGAGUUCUUUUUCGCACUAAUGAAACAUUUUCAGGCUUGCUGCAAACUUCUUUUUUGUUUUUUUUGUUCUUUGCUUUUUUUGUUUUUCGAUUUUUUAUGCGUGAGUGGGUGCGCGUGUGCAUGUGGUAGAGUCUUACAUCUGGUUACAGAAAAUAGGAUAUCUGAAGUAGUUGAAGCUUGAUUCCUACUUUUAUAGUACAAUAGCUACCUAUGCAAUAAUUUGAGCUGCACCUGUAAAAUCUUUAGUUCUCUACAGGAUUCACUGUACCGGUGCUGGAUCGUUACCGGUACCGGACCCCAUACCGGUGCCACAUUAGUAUAGUAUCAGUACGAUAUGUUUUGAAAUUUUUUGGGUAUACCGAGUGUCGGUACGUCAUCGGUAUCGGUACUGGUAUCGAACUAGUAUGGUAUGGUACAUCCGGUACUGUCCGGUUCGGUAUGAUACGGCAUACCAUGGUUCUUUUUGCUAGAACAUUCUGGAGUGCACAUGAACCCAUAAUGUACUUAUCCUGUAAUACUUUUUAGUUCUAUUUUUUUUUCCAUUUCAAAGUGUUAACAUGGUACUUAGAUUAUACUCAUCACUAUGGGGUAUUUCUGAAAGCAGGUACAUGCUAUAUAUUAUUCACCUGAAUGUGUAAUCAUAAAUAGCAAAUUCUAUUAAAAUUAUUUGUGAGGCUGCUUUCUGUACUUUACAAUUUGUUCAUGCUAUCAAAUGUCUGAGUUUUAUGUUAGAAUAAAUAGAUCUGUGUGAACAUAUUUAAUUGCAUGGAAAGUAGUUCAACUGGUGGUUUGAAAUCGUACGCUUGUCAUUGUUCCCCUCUAAUUUUUCUUUUCUAGCUUCUAUGGUUGUGGUGUAACUUCGACUAUGUAAUCACUGCUGAUUAAUCAGUCUACCAUAAGAUUUGGGGAAUGAAAUAUAACUUGGCUUGUUUCAUUAGAAGUUAUAGUCUUCUAGUUUAUUAAUAAUUAUAAUUUUAGUAGUGGUUUCAUAAAUUAUAAUCAACCUACGAUCUCUUGUGUGCCCCCUCAGAGUUUUAGAUUAACCUGUUUUUCUUAAGUUGUAGAGUGUUUGAUGAUUAAUGUUUUGGCUCUUUUAUGGAACCAUGUUUGAAGUAUUUCGCUUCAGAUGAUUAUCGGCAUGAUCAGUGUUGUUGGUAUUGAUUUUGCCUAGAUGUUUUCUGCUAUAGCCUGCACAGGAAUAAACACUCUAUGCUACACAUAAAUCAAUUUCUGUUAAUUUCUGGGUGGACUAUACUUAAGGGACUUUAUCAUCAAUUUAUUUAAAUGGAUUAGGAAACUUCUUCCUUAUCCCCCAAACUCACAAAUGCACCCUACUUGUGAUGGGAAGACUUUUAAUCAGUAAUGUGCUUCCAUUCACGGUAAUUAUGGCCAACCUACGCCACAUACCACAAGUAUGUGAAUUUGCAAAAAUCAUAUUAUGCCAUGUUACUGAUAUGUUUCUUUUCUUACUUGGGGUUGCAGCCACAUUGGCUUUGGGGCCUAUUUAGGCUUGAUUAUAUGCUGCCUCAGGCUGGAAUUUGUCCUAUUUGAAAGCCUUGGACAUGCUCUGCACAAUGUGCUAAAAUAAGAUGGAAAUUCACCACUUCAAUCCACAAAUUGAAACAAUGAUACAAAACCAACAAUGUAACUUGACAAAAACUUCCAGAUGUUGUCCUAAGUAUUUAUGACAUCUAGGUACAAGAAACUAGAUUAUAAGUAGAAGUUCAACAUCAAAUUGCACGCCAUUGAGAAAAUAAAACCCUUUCCCUGAUGUAUCUGAUAAUAUCAAUUGCUGAUUAGCUUAUAUAUUAUCCUCUCAUUUUUAAUUCUCUGCUCAAAACCAUUAUGUAGUGUAUUUUUUUUAUUAAAACUUGGUCUCCUUAUUCUGUUUUGGUUUAUUUAGUUAAGUCUAGCAUUAUUGGAUGUUAGCUUGUUAGAAUUUAUGAGCUAAAAUUUUUUAAGUAGAGUAUGCAUAUUGCUCAUGUUAUGUCUAUCAAUAUGAAAUUCCUGUUUAUUUUAUUUUAAGAGCUUAGAUCUAUUCAAAUGGGUAAACCUUUUUGUCUAAUUGUUCUUGUCUAUGUACCCCUGUAAUGCAUGAAGUUUGCUAGGUUCAAAAAUGGACUUCCUUUUGGAUGUGAGUGAAUGUACCCUGCAGCAAUGGGGCAUCAUUGCAUGUUGAGUCACAUAGUAUGCAAUACUGAGUCAACCUUGGUAAGAUACAUGAUGGAUUGUAAUUAAAAUGAGAAAGAUGAUUCUUUGAUACUAGUAUUGCAAUACUUGGAUACUUGGAUAAGAGUAUGAUACAUGAUGGAUCUGAAGUCCUUAAGAUCUUCUAUAUUGGAUUAGAGAUGACUGCAAGUAUUUAACUAGUAUCAAUGCUUUAUUGGGUUAUUUAAACAAUGAAAGGACAACAAUGUCAAAGGCUCUUCAUGAGAUCACAAUAAAGUGGAUGGAAAUUAGAUUCUUCUCCUGUCAUCAAGGCACAUAUCAUUCAUAUUUGCCCCCUAUUUAGAAGGAUCCCAUCUUUUGUCGUAACCUCCAUGGUUAUCAAUUCCACGAAAAAGAACUAUUUUACUGCAUUUGUUGAUUCUCCAUGGUUUUUUUGACUUUGUAAGGAAGUGCAUUUUUCUUCAGUGGAUCUUGUGACUAGGACUGCCUCCAAUUCUGUAUUGCUUUCUCUAAAAGAGAACCUAAACCCUAUCCUUAACCCUUGCAGAAUAUCAGAGGCUAGUCAAAACAAGUGCAGGAAUCACCAAGCUAAUUAGCUCUCAAUAGAAUGAUGUAAUCUAAUUUUAAACUCCAAAUGUUAUUAGAUGCCCCUUUGGAAACAAACAUAAGAAAUAUGACACCACAUACCUCUAUUAUUUCUGGAUUUGUUUUGUUACUCAGCCUAAAAGGUUUAUGUCAACAAUUCCUCUUGAUUCAUAUGUUCUUUUAUAUUAUGAUUGUGUAAUAAUUCUCAAUGGUUUUGCUAAUUUAAACUUUGAGCAAGAUUCCUUGUAGAUGGACCAAUCUGAGAAAGAGUUGGAUGUUAGCUUCAAGAUAGGCUUGAAACAUAAUGAAGCUUUUGUCUUCCACAAGUCCAUAACUUCAUCUAGUGGCUUUUAAUAUAACUAAAUAGAUCCACUUAUCAAUAGAUAAAACUAAUCUAAGAAUCUUUUGCAUAACUGUCAACUGAACGCCUUUCCUAGGCUCAUAACCGCCUAGUUAGGUUUCAAAUUUUAUCUUGAUAAAGCAUGACUUUAUCAUCUAGUAAGAUUUUAGAGAAAUUGGGGGCAUUUGGUAUUUGAAACUACAAAGGGUAAAUAUGAAUAAAAUUUAUGUAUUUAUAGCAUAUGCUACUUAUAUAUAUGCCAUAUGCCAUUUUAUUUAAGGUAUUUUAUUCAACAAUUAUCAGUCAUUUAUAUCUCAAUUUUUUAAUUAUAGCAGUACAUGGGCAUGUUCAGUGCAUACUUUGUAAAGUUUGAAAUUUAUGAAUAAUUUGACAUUAGAAAAGUUGGAAAAAAGAUGAAAUCAGUAUAAGUAUGGAUGGAAUGCAAUCUAAUGAGGCAACUUUGAAAUCUAUGUGAGAUUCGUUUUACAAUAACCAAUACCCAUAAUUAUUGUAUAAUAAAGUUUGAAUUGUGAAUCAUUACACCUAAGGGCAAGUUUAAUAUGCCUGAAGACCCCAACUUGCUCUUUUAGUAUAAUUUAAAUUAACCUCAUGAAUAAGAAAAACCUAGGUAAAAUGAUGCAGAAGUGGGGGUGGAAUCAUAAAGAAAAGAAUGAUUAAUAUACUGAUAAAGUGGAUAUUUUUAUUUUCAAUUAUAUUUAGGAAGUAAAUUAUCAAUGAAGAUAUCUGUUAUAUAUUUAUAAAAUAUGACUGCAGUAUGGUAGUAGUCUUGUUUAAGGGCUUACUAGAUGCUGGAGUUAAACAAAAUGUCAUAAGUAGGUCUAGGGACCUUUUCUUUUGUGGAAUAAGAUGGAAAAUGCUUACGAGGCAAUGAAUUUUCUGGUUUGAUGAUCCUCAGUAAAAUCAUAAAUGGUUCCAGAUGAUCUAUACUGGAGAUUUUGGAAGAAAUGCUAAAGUGUGGAAUGAAGUGGGUUGUUUUGAUGAGGAGUUGAAGGUUAUUUUGGCUUUCUUUGGAAAAGAAUUGGGGAAGUGGCUGAUUAAUUGACUAAUUUCUGGUGUUUGUCAAUCCAAAAAAUCUUUUGCAACUACCAUGAGCAAGAAUAUCAGAUACAUUGAAACCUUACUUUUCACUUAUGAAAAUAAUCUACCAAGAUUUGUACUUUAGCUAUACUGUUGAAUCCUCUUUAUAUUUUUCCUUUCUGUUGCUGAUUGAUUUACAGCAAGGUAACACAGUUGAAAAUAUAUGAUUGUAGGUGUGGAAAAUGAAAAUUGUUGGGGCUAGUGGAGCCUAAAUAGAUUUUGGUGAAGGAGAUCUUGAAAGGGAAGGGAUUAAGGUUCUUCAAAUAGGUACUUCAAAUGGGCUUUGAUGGGAGGAAAUGUAGCCAAGACUUGAAUAAUUUUGCCAAGUAAGGUGAUAUGGGUGUCUAUUAUAUUUCACAAAAUGCCAUACAAGAGAAGGUAGUUUCUGAUGAAGGCAUUAAUUUGUAAGAAAAUAAUUAUUAAUUGUGGUUUUCUUUUAGGACUACUAGUUCUUCUUAUUUUAAAUAAUUAUUGAUAGAUAACUUGGUGGCAUUAGCCCAUGAGGAUGGAUUUUGAGGUGAUCAAAAGGUGGGAGAAAGGGUGUAGAAUUUCAGGAUGAAGUGGUCAAACAUGGGGUAUUGAGGACGGAAAAAAGUUCUUGCUUCAAAUGGUUCCCUUUUUAUGUAAAGUUUUGGCAGAUUUUGAAGGGUGAUAUAAUGAAGGUUUUCCCUGAGAUCAACUAGCAUGUUUUUUUUGUACAGGAUUUAGUUGCACUUCUUCUUCUUCUUCUUCUUUUUCUAAGGAAGCCAUUACAAAAAAUAACAGAGAAGUGAUAGAUCUUGAUCUUUUAAGAGCAAUCCAGUUGUUGAGUGGAUUUGUUUCCAAUUCUUGAACAAAUCAAAUAGAUGAAAGGUUGAAAACUCUUUAUGUUUGAUGGUGCUAUGAACAGAAAUGAGUGAGUUCUGUGCAAAAUUUUAUCUCCGAAGUAACAGAAAAGGCCAUGGUACUCAAACUAUGAUGUGCUUACAGAUUACUUCCCUUCUCAGCGUUCCCAUCCAAGCAUUCUUUUCUCAUCCUCCAAUCUGAAUUUGAGACCCAUAAUGCUUGCAGCUGUCUCUGGAAUUUUCUAGAUGAACCAUGUUAAAAAGUUUUUGCAACACAAUUAAAAGAAAAUACUCAAAAUAGCAUUAGAAAACAAAGUAAGGGAGACACUUCUAUCUUUUAAGGUUUGUUUUGGAAAGAAGGUCGAUGAGUAAUGUCAAUGUCAACUGCUUAAAUUUUUAACUUAAUAUCUAAGCAUACGAACCAAGGUCCAGCUUGUCCACCUGUUUAAGUCCAUCUAGAACUUGAGCAAUCCUCAAACCAGUCCUUCACAGUCCCCUUAGUCCCCUUGGCCCCUACUUCCACACUUUUCCACACUUUUGAGUCCUUCACAGUCCUUCCCCUUCUUAGCCUAGCUAUCCCCUGAAACAAAUGGAUGUUAAAUAAUUUCAGAUAAUGACAGAACUAGUUAAAAUAUACCACUAACUAAUGGCUAUAAAUGGCCUCAAAUAAUAUGCCAUCUAGCAACCUCAGUCUGAUUCCAUCAGACCAAGACUGACCAUUUAUACCUAGUUCGAGUGCCUAUCAUGAUACAUCUGUUUUUCUCUAGUUGAUUGUCCACUGCAAUUGAUCUUCCAUUGCUGCUACUCUUUCAAUCUGCACUUCUUUAUUCUUCCUGAUUUAAGCACGCAUUAAACUCAGCAUCCUCUUCAAACCACAAUACAUAGUGAUCCACUAAACAUUCUAUCAAUAAUAUGUGCAUUGAUUAAAACCUUAAACCAAGAAACCUUAUCCAGUUUACAUGUAACUAAAUGCAGAUAGAGUUCUUAUAUUGUUAACCAACGAAAGUGGCCCAUGAGAGUCAGAGUUGAGAUGCCUAUAUUGUUGCAUGUAGUUGCCUUGAUAUAUAUUUUAGAUAUGGGUCAUGUAUUUUGUUGGGUCAUGUAUUUUUGUCCAGUCUCCAUUGUUCAAUGCUUUUUUGUUUGAAAUGGGUUCUAGGCAUUGUUACUUAAUCUCUGACAGUGUCUUCUGUAGGAAGAUUAUGAAUGAAUUUCAUCUUGUUUCCACUGUCAAUUUUGUUUCAUUCAAAAUUUUGUUGAUGAUUCCAUUGAAGCACGAUUUCAUCAGACCAAUUCAAACAAACAAGUUCUCAAGGCAGGUGAUGUCUAUAUAUAUAAUAGGCAAAUGUCUAUGAUUCUUUGUAGCCCAAUUUUGUGGGGUCUUCCUUCGCAUAACCACUCAACUGACCCUGCAUGCACAUUUGGAAAUUUGACUGGACAUAGUCAAGCAAGACAAAUAUGUACUUCUAUUAGGAAAAGUGUGGAAGUAGUCUUUUUUGCUUGAAACUUGUUGAUCAUUAGUGUUUGUAGUUUACUGUGCAUUUGGUUUUGCAGUGUUUGAAAUCUCAAACCUGCACCCACUUCCUAAGCUCUUCCUUACUAAAUGCGUUUCUAAAAUAUCCUCUUCCGUGCACUUGCAACCACUUUUAUUCUUGUACCUGCUCCGAAUUCUGGCAAGUGGCAACUAAGUGUAGGUCUUAGUUUGAAAAAGGAAAAGUCUUAAAUUCUCUCUUUUAUAUUAAUGUUAUCCAUUAUUUUCUACUAUUCAACAUUUUUUUUUGCCCAUGGCGGGGACAAUAUUACUGGGACACUCGACAUUUUGGGUCUUCUAACGUGUGGGGCACUUGGACACUUCGGACAUAUAUGAUACACAUUGACAUUUUAUACCAUCAAGUUAUGAUACAUCACUGUUACUGUCUAAAUUUGGCUGUUCUAUAUGGAAGUUCUAAUUCUAAUAUAACAAUUAGCCAACAUUUUAUCAAUUUUUAUAGCAUAGUUUCAGCUCAUUAUUCAUUAUAUGUAUACAUCAGUACAUAUUUAAGCAUAAUUGUCUAAAGUACAAACUUGCCCCCUUGUCCAAUUUUCAGAAGAUUCCUGCACCGAUAUCUUUUGGACAUUUGACACUCAUGUCAUAUGUCCAAGCAACACUUGGGGGAGGUGGUUAUAGAAAGUUGCUAUCACGUUAAGAACUCUUUUUUUUUCUCCCUUGCUCAAUAAGAGGUCUUGUAUAAUUUCUCCUUGGAUUCGAAUCUUUACAAUCUUGUCUUAUUAUGUUUACUAGAAACAUUAGAUCUCUAGUUGUGAUUUAGAUUUGUGAUCUUAUUCAACUUUCCCUAACUUAGCCAUACUCAAUGUUGACAAGCUCUUCAAAUUAUAUUUGGUUGGCUUUGGCCCUUUCUUUACGCUCCAUGUAUCUGCUGUUUAACCAAGUCAAGUCUUUGCAAUCCUUUUCAUGCCCACAGGCAGUUUUUUAAUGCAUUGGCAAGUGAUCCCAUCAAUGAAUGAGAAGAUUCUCUCAGUCUUCCUCAUUGUUCAACCUUAAAGAUGAAGCAGACUCUUCCCAUCGUGUUCCCACCAGAUGAAAAUUCCCAUUUGUGAGGAGAGGAUGCACCCCUCCCCCCCAAGACUCAGUUGUGCAAUUUCACCUUCCAUUUUUUUACUUCUUUAAGCUGUUAAUGCUUCCUUCUCCACUAUUUUCUUCAUCUUUUUCCACAUUUUACUUCUCUGAUGACAAAACUGUGCAAUAAUGAGAUCUAACCUCAAACCCCUAAGAAUGUCGCAUUUAUAGUGCCUGCAUGAAACUUAAUUUCCAUCCCUGACACUAGCCAUAAAAAUUGAGGAAAAGAAACAAGAAGUACCUGUUGUUAAGAAUACUAUUUUCCUUUAUAUAUUCCCCUUUUGCUGCUACCUUUUAAAGGGGUCCAGCUUUAAACCUGCCACAAUUAGCCAAAAUCUUGCAAUUAACUAUUGUUAAGAAUGCUAUUUUCCUUUAUAUUUUCCAUUUUUCCUGCUACUGUUUUAAAGAGACCAGCUACAAACCUGCCACUGCCACAACUAGCCAAAAGCUUGCAGUUGACCAUCUGCCUAACCUUUAAGUCAAACCCAUGCUGUGAUCCAGUAUUUGCUGAACCGACCUGUACCGGUCGGUUCAGCCCAUACCGGACCGGUACCGAUUGGCACCGUCCGGUAUGGGGGUGGAAAUCUUGGGUUGGAACCGGUCGGUUUUGCCUCGUACCGGUACAUGCUCGUACCGGUUCCGGUUCGCACCGGUACAUGCUCGUACUGGUGGGAACCGCUCGGUUCGCACCGGUAGGGGGUGUGGGGGACAGCACGUGGCCGUAGCCACGUGCUAAGUGCUCGCACUGUGGCACUUUGAAAAUGCCAGACCGCCAAAGAGCGGCACUUUCAAAAGUGCCACAGUGUCAUUUUGGGUGUUUUUUUUGGAUGAUUUCCACCCUGCCACGUGCUGUGGCACUUUCAAAAGUGCCACAACGAAGAGUAAAUGGCGGCACUCAUCCGUGCCAUACGCUGUCACUUUCAAAAGUGCCACAGCACUGGCCGAAAAAUCACCCAUAGCAUGGUUGUCUUUGCAUUUGUUCGGCUAUAAAAGCCGAACGAUUCAUCAGCCAAAGCCAGAAAUAAAAUGAAAGGAAAGGCAUAGACGAAGGUGGAGGAAAAGAAGAGAAAGGCAAAGACAGACGUGAAAAAAAUUUAGAAGGGUCAGAGAGCGUCGUUUUACUUGAAGAAAAAUCCAGCAAAAACUAAAUAAGAUAAAAUUUCUUUCCUCUAUAUUCUUUUUUAAUAUUUUAUUUAAAUUGCUUUAAAAAAUUAAGUCAAAAAUUGCCAAAAAAAUAGAAAAUGAUUAAAUGAUUCCAUUUCGUCUUGAAUUUUUUAUAUAUUGUCGAUAUAUGGACGAUGUUAAUGGUGACAUUAAUUUUUGUUUUUACAGAAUUUAUAUAAUUUAUAAUUUAAUAAAAAUUUUAAAAAUUAUUUUUUAAUUAAAAAAAUUUGAAAUUUUAAAAAAAUUAAUGUGGUCAUAGGAAUGGAGCUGUCAAGGAGAGGGCAACCUCAAGAGCGUAAUAUUGGCUGGGAGCAUGGGAAGAUGCUUAGUGAACGGCACCAGUUUCAGUGCAAUUAUUGCCACAAGUGCUUUAAGGGAGAAGGGGUAACCAGAUUAAAGCAGCACUUAGCCGGUAAUUCUUGUCAGAUAUCUGCGUGCUCGGAGUGCCCACCGAAUAUACGUCAGCUGAUGAGGAAAAACCUCGUUGAGAUCAAAGCAACCAAGGAGAUGGCUGCGAAGCAGAAAGCGGAGGUGGAACGCCAAGUUGCAAAAGCACCUUCCUAUCACUUCAUGGAGUCAUAGAAGGUCGAGGGUCCAGAUCCAGGCUGCCAUGCGGGCGAGUCUGGAUGAUCGGUGGCAGCAGGAGGAGGUGGCGAGGCAUCGGGCUCAAUUUGGGCCCUCGUUUUUGGAGUCGGGCGCCGGUUCUGGUAGAAAGCAGACAAGAUCCAGAGUUUCAAAGGAUAAGCUUAGUCAGGGAGGGCGAGGGCAGAGGACGUGGCCGGAUUGCAUCUAUCCUGGGUGGUUUUGCUAGUCGAAAGAAGUCUUUCGGAGGGAUUCCAUCAGGAGCGUCAAUCCAUGAUGUAGAUCCGCAUGCCUUCCUCAGGAGAGAUUCGAAGCAGCAAAGGGUAGACACAAUGUGGAAGAAGGAGAAGAAGAAGGAUAUGUGGCGAGCUAUUGGAUCCUGGUUCCACUUCAGCCACAUCCCAGCGAAUGCUGCAGACAAUAUAUACUACAAGUCUGCCAUUUCCGCCAUACAGUCUGUCGGUCCCGGUGUCGAUCCUCUAGGCUCGAAGGACAUCUACGGUGAGCUUCUUGACAAUAAUAAGAAGAAGCUACAGAAUUGGAUUGGCUCAUAUAAGAGUAAGUGGCCCACAUAUGGGCUUACUCUGAUGUGUGAUGGUUGGACCGGUCCAAUAAAGCGGGCCAUCAUCAACUUUUUGACAUACUGUGAUACGAAGAUCUUCUUCCACAAGUCAGUUGAUGCUUCCAAUAAGGUGCACAACGCCUCAUACAUCCUCAGACUUAUAGAGGAGGUGAUUGAUCAAAUUGGAGAGGAGAAUGGCGUGCAGGUCAUCAUUGAUAAUGAGCCGCAAUAUAAGUUGGCCGGGAAGAUCUUGAUGGAGCGGCGACCACAAAUUUUCUGAACCCCAUGUGCUGCACAUUGCAUCGACCUCAUCCUGAUGGACAUUGGAAAGCUUUGUAGGGUGCAACAUACGGUGGAGAUAGCCCAACACAUCACUAGGUAUAUUUAUUGCCAUACUUGAGUUUUUUCAUUAAUGAGAAAGUAUACAGGGGGAGAGAUUCUGGAACCAGGAGUCACAUGGUUUGCUACAAACUACAUUGCACUUGAUAGCUUUAUCGAGAAAAAAGGAGCCCUACAUCAGAUGUUUGUCAGUCCCGAGUGGCAGGAAAGUAGAUAUGCCCAGGCCGGCACUGAAGGAAGCAGGAUGGAAGGCUUGGUAAGCAGGUAGUCAUUCUGGCAACGGGCCAAUGCGCUAAUCAAGGCUAUCAAACCAUUAUAUGAAGUGCUGCGUGCCGUGGAUAGCGAGAGGUACCCUAGAUGGGCUUUUUGUAUCACAUGAUGGAGAAGGCAAAGGCUCAGAUCAUGGAGGCAGAUGUAGCCCAUGCUCAUGAGUACAUCGACAUCAUUGAGCAGCAGUGGGGAGCCCAAAUGGAUAGAGAAUUGCAUCUAACAGGUAAGCGAUAAUAUUGAUAAUUAUACCGAUGGAUAUAUUUGUAUAAUUAUACUAAGAUGGUGUCGUCUAUGUGCAGCAUACUACUUGAAUCUCUGGUUCCAAUACGGAAGUGGAAUUGGUAUGGAUGAUGAACUUCUUGAUGCUCUGCAUAAUGUUAUUUAUAAGAUGAAGCCUGAUCCAGAAGUCGCCGCAUCAUGUAUAGAAGAAGUAACUAUGAUUUAAUAGCAUAUGUAAAUAUAUCGGAUCUUAUAUUAUUAACAUACUACAACAAGCUUUUUUUCACAGACCAAAUUAUUUAGAGAGGGCAACCACAGCUUUGGACAAUGACCAGCUGUCGUGAGCAAGACAACUAUGAAUCCAGGUACAAUACAAAUAUGCAAGACAUUUUUGCAGCUGAAUUAUCUUCAACUAUGAGGCCAUCAUAUAUGUAAAAUGUAAUUAUCUUCAAUAUUUUUGCAGCUGAAUGGUGGAUUCAUUUUGGCGGAUCCGCAAAAAAUCUUAAGAGGAUAGCUAUCCAGAUCCUCUCCCAAACGGUCUUUUCGAGUGGCUGUGAGCGCAACUGGUCCGCCUUCGCCCUCAUCCACAGCAAACAGANNNNNNNNNNNNNNNNNNNNUCGAGUGGCUGUGAGCGCAACUGGUCCGCCUUCGCCCUCAUCCACAGCAAACAGAGGAACCGUUUGACACAAAAGUGCCUCAAUGAUCUAGUUUAUGUGCACUACAAUAUGCGGCUGAGGCUAAAAUGCAUUCAGGAGGAAGUGGAGCUCAAGUAUGCAGAUCCCAUCUAUAGGACUUUUACAGAUGAUGAUAAUCCUAAGCUCAACUGGCUUGCGGCCCAGCAGCAGGAGCCCGAGCUUGAUGAGCCAGGAUCGCCUCGACGACCAGCCAACAUCAUAGCCACCGAGGCUAUGGUCGAUCCAUAGCAAUGGGCUGAGCGCAACAUUCCACGCACUCCUACAGCUGAUAGGACAUGGCUAGAGGGGAGCCAGUCACCACAUGACUGGUACGAUGCUCCCGUUCAGAGAGAUGAUCCUCUCAUGCGAGGACGAGGACGUUCUAGUAUCUAGUCGACUCGAUCAGGAGGGCGUUAAUCCUAGCAAACGAGAAAAAAAAGGAAAGGGCCCUAAUGGAGAGUGUCGAGGAGGAGACUUGGAUCAGCAACGAUGAAGGUUCUGGUGGUGAUGGAUCUACUAGCCAUGGAGGAGGUGGAGGAUAGUAUGAUACUACUUAUGAGACACAGCCGGAGGAAGAUUUUCGAUACACCGAUAAGUCCCAGUUUACGCAUGCUACACAAGAUACAGACCAUUGUAUAUCGAAGACGGGCUCCUCGAGGUCGUUCAAGAGGGCAGGAUGCAGCUGCAGAUGACCUUCCAUGUGGAGUAGGAUCCAUUGAUGUAUCAAGUUCCGAGUCUUCCUAUUAUCCGCGGCCUUAGCUAGCCUAUGGAUAUGGUGCAUCGGAGUCAUCUUCCGGUGGCUACUAUCUUGCAUAGCCCGGAGGGUCUUACGGGUCGGAUUUUGGUGCCGGCAUAUUCGAAUGGGCCCCUGCACAGCCAUAUUAUCAAGACACCUUUCAGAGCCAGAACUUCAGCGAGAGAUCCGAGAGUUCUUAUGACCUGACGCGCAUCUCUCGGGGAUUGAGCAUACAAGACUACAACGCCGCUUGGCUAGAGAGAUGGGUUGAUCUGCCUCCGUAUUAUGCUGAUGAUCCAGAUAUCGACGAGAAGCAUCGCCAUUCGAUCCGAUUUUAGAUAUCCGAGAGUGUUUUAAAUGUAUGUAAUUGAUUGUAUCUUAAUUUGAAGAUAUUUUAUGUUCUUCAUCUCAUUAUUUGAAUCAUUUGGAAGUAAUAAGAUGCAUCAUCUAGUUUAACCCUUAAACCUACACAUAAAAACAUCAAAAAAAAUCCAAAAGUGAGAGAACUCGCCUCCCCCUCCCCAAAAAAAACGAUGACGGGGUCGAAACCAGGCCGAACCAGCCCCAUCGGUACGGUAUCGGUUUGGCACCGGUACCAAAGCCGACCGGUACGUCGGUACGCUCGGUACCGCGCACCUUGCUGUGAUCUAACUGAAUUUUAUUGAUGCGAACAAUAGACUAGUUCUUUAGGCAUACUGUUGGUAUCAACUUAUUCAGAUCCUAUUUCUAACCUGUUUAAAAUGGACUCAACUAUAAGUAUUUGGUGCAAGCAAAUAUCAAAGCCUCUAUUUUAUUCCUAAGAAAUUCCUCUUGGGAAUAUGUAGUGUCAUACCCAUAUCCAAGUCCGUAAAAAGUAUCAUAGCAAAUUGAAAGGUCGGGUAACAUACCUAGGGUCCUAUGUUUCUUUUUUUAUUAUCAUUUCUUUUAAUUUUUUAAGGCAUGGUCAAUAGAUUGGGUGAUCUUUGCAGGUAAGGCUACAGAUUAGGAGCCCUCCUUUAGGCUGUCCUUGACUACGAGUUCCUUUGAUACUUCAUCUAUUUCAGAUUAAUUUGCUUUUUCUAGAUUUACCUAAUUGUUAUGACCAUUAUUAACUCAUACUAGAGCUUGAUCUAUGUAGGCAUUGCAAAAUUGUCAUAGAAUGCCAAUUUGAGUCUGACAGGUCUCUUACUUGGGCCAAUGUCAUUUCUUAGCUUAGGGAUUUUAAGGAUGAAAACUUCUAGAUUCUGAAAUCUGUACUAUCUGUCAAUUAAGCUAUUGAGAAUAUACAUAAUAUUUAAACUAUCAUAGAAAGAUUAUUGCAUAUAUAUGCAUAUGGAACACAUUUAAAAUUAUAAUUAUGUUGUUUAUAUCUGAUGUGUCAUGCAUUUUUCGAGAAAUAUCACAUAUUGUGGUCCUUGUUUAGGUGCAGCAACCCUAUAUGCUUGCCCAGUGAAUACCUUAAUGAACAUAGGAAGAAUCAUCUGACUUUUGGGCUUUACCAGGAAAUUCCUUCCAUAGUUGAAAACUUUUCAACAGUUCUAAAACUCACUAUCUUUCUAUGAGAAAUAAUUUUAAACUUUUAAUUCUCAUUGUCAUCAUUUACUACAUCUGUUUUUUUAUUAUUCUAGAUUUUGGAAACACUUUUGCUUUAUACAACAUAUAUCUCAGCUGUAAUGCUUAUAUUUUUAGUUACUCUUUAUGAUUUAGUAAUAGCUGAUCUUCUUUCUUACAUUAUUUUCCCAAAUUACAAAUUUUUGUCUUAUUCAAGUUAUUUCCAAAUAUGAAAAGAUUACAUGGUCAUGCUUUUGUAAAUAAUUCCUACCUCUAUAUUUUUAUUGCAACUAUUCAAGUCUCUCAUUGUUCAGUGGCAAAUUUUAAAUUUUCCCAUCAUAUGUGAUGCUUCAGUUCCAUGCUAUUCAAUCUACAAUUUUUGGACUUUUAUUCAAGAAUAUUGUCUACCAUAUGUUCUAUUUUAUCCCAUGAUAUUUGGAGAGCGACAUAUGAUUUUUCUUAUGAGCAUUUAUCACAUGCCAUGGGUGCUGUCAAAAGCGAGCUGUCAUGGUCAGCUAAUAUUUGGCUUGAAAUUCACCUUGAAAUCAGUUUGCUUGAUCGGCACAUGGGCCAAAUCCAAGCGGAGAUUGUGAACUUGAAUAUGUAAGCGAAUUGAAUGCUAGUUAGUCCCAGCUUGCUUGUGUUCCACUAGAAUAUCUUGAAUUUAUCUAUGUGUGUGUGUGUGUGUGUGUGUGUGUGUGUGUGUAUGUAGAAGGCAUCUCAGCUGACUCUGAUAAGAUGGGAGAAUUCACUAGAAAACCCUCAAAAAUAUAUGUGAGCAUGGAUGUGUUUAUUAUUACUAUUUUCUUUUUUUCUCUUUUAACUUAUUUUACAGAAAUUUUAGUUUUGUUGAUGGACAAAAGUUAGUAAACUUGGCAGUCGGAUCAAAAUCUAAUGAUUGAAAUGAAUAUUUGAUGAUAAUGGAGAUGUCAACGAGCAAAACCCACCGCUACCCUGGCUUUUUCCCCACAUAUUGACUCUCCCUCAGAAACCUAUUCCUCUCUCCUCUUCCCCUCUUUUUGUUCAACUCUCUCACUCCCUCUUUCUGUUGGAAAUAGUGGUACAUUUAAACCUAUCCACACUCACCUAAUUUCUUUGGUACAUUCUUUGCUGCCUCUGCCUCCACGUCGAGCUCGUCAUCAUGAUGCUUGGAACCACCCAUUUCUGUCCACAUCUUGGUUGACUGUUUCCACCUACCUUAUCCACUUCAUUACCAUCUCCUCCCAUCAAUCCUCAAACAAGGUAGGAGCUGGCUUGAGUUGAAACAAGUAGAGCUUGAGCUGGGACUAGCUUGCUCUAGUUUGGCUUGCUCACACACCCUUACAUGCUGCCCCUGCUGUCAAAACUCAAGAAAAAUUAUCCUUUUUCUUUUUGUUGGACUGAGACAUUGUUCUUGAAUGAGACGGAAUUUUUGGUCAGUUAGGAUAAUACAGUACAAAACUAUUAUUUGUAUAGGGAAUUUCAUUUGAUGGACAGUUUAGAAAAGAUUAUCAGUAUUCUAUGGGUCAAGAUUGUCAAGCAGAUUGCAUAGGCAUUUAAUUGCAUUAUCUUCAAAGUAGGCUUAGUCAUUUAUUUUUAAAGAAAUGGUAUGGUCAUUUUCUUCCAGCUUUUGAUGAAAUUUUGUAUGUGUCCUGUUGCUUGUUGAGUUGUUAUCUUUUACCAUGUUGGUGCCAUAUGUCUAUGGUAACUGCACCUGUUCUGUCUUUUUUUAUUUCUUCCAAUGAUGUGUGCAAUCUUAGAAUUUCUUUUUGCAUGUGCUGUGGAUUUUAUUUGACCACAUUUGUGGAAUUAUAAUCAGCCGGUAAAACAAUUGCUUGGUUAAUACUUACUUUGGGGUUGGUAAUUUUCUCUUAAAGUCUUGUAUAAGUCAAUAAUCUCCAUACAUUCCGUUGUGCUUAUAAGUUAAAAAAACAAUAGGCCUCCACCUAAGUGACAUAAGUUACAUUACUAUAUUCUAACUACUGUGACAUCAGCGAUGUCCAUGGACCAAUCCUAAAGAACUAAAGAAUUAUAUUGAGGGGCAACUCCAAGGUGGUCACAGGUGACUACCUGGGCAUUUUGGACAACUCAAUUGCCUAGGCACUUGGCAUUUUCUAGGCCUUUAGGCGAGGUGGUCGCCCGAGCACCUUGGUUAGCACCCUAAGUAGGUGCCUAGUUGCCUAAGAGCCGUUUUUUUUCUUGGUUUGAGUUUUUUUGGUGCUUAUUAAAGGCAUUACAUUUUCUUAACUUAUUUCGUGUCGAGUAAAAGAAAAGUUAUUAAUUUCAAGAGAAAAAGAAGUUGACUUCAUUUAUAACACGUUAGCUUAAAUACUAAUUGGUGUUUGAACAUAUUAUUUUUCUAAAAAGUUUUAAAUCUUUUAUGUCACUUAAUUGAAAAACUACUAAGUAAAACUAAAGUACUUAAACCAAAGAAUUUCAUUAUUGCAUAUCUUUAGUAAUGGACAACCUUACUCUUUAUAUGUAUGUAUGUAUGUAUGUCUCUAUACAUGAAAUAUAUGAUUUUAUUAACUCUUAGAAUUUAGAAAUAUGUUUUACAUAUGCACCCACUUGGCUGCAUAGGUAUGGGCCUAGGAUUGUAAGAGGAUCAAUGGCUAGAACAACCUAGGUAAUUUGAUUACCUUGGGCAGCCAAUGGCCCAACUAUGGACUGCUGUACCACCCUGAAUGGCUUGGUACGGAGCGUACUGUACUAUUCUAAGUCAGAACCAGUACAAAACUCAUAUUCGGGUUGGUAUAGGCUCUGUACUAAGGCGUAUCGAGGGGCAUACCAAUCCGUACUGAGGCAUAUUGAGAUAAAAAAUGAGAAAAAUGGUUCAAAAGCUAUUAUGAUAUAGGGUGCAUACUAUAUUGUACCAGCCCAUACUGUACCAAAUCAGUAAUGUAUCAGUAUGGUACUUGGAACCGAGAUUGCGGAUCUUGGCCCAACUAAAGUAGGAACGAUUAGUUGGUUUUUGCCCUAACAUUGAAGCCCAGGUCAUGAAACACAUUUCAUUACCCCUUAUUUUUGAUGUUGAAUAUUUUGGUCGAUUCACAUUUAAGGGUAAGGCUUCUUGUUGCAAUUAAUUUUCUGAUAGCUGGAAGCUAAGUUUACAAUUGCUUGUUUUAUCUCCCUCGAAAAUUUGAAUUGACUAUUUUGGAAACUUGUUUCUAAUUAAUGCAUAGAGAUAUAUACUUGUUCCUUCCUAUGGUAUCCAAUUUUUAUACUUGUUCUUUCCUAUGGAAUCCGAUAUGUAUGCUUUUUCCCUCCUAUACUAUAAAAUCUUUAUACUAUGUAUGGCGAGGGUAGAAAUUUUCUUUAGGGUGUUCUUUUUCUUGCUUCUCCCUUUGUGGUUUAUUCCAUAAUGGUGCGAGUGCUUAUCCGACAUCUCUUGUGUUGCCUCUCCUCUUCGUCUCCCACAUCAAGUUGGUAUUGGAUCUUGGGUGAUCGUGAUGGCCAAUCAUUUUAGGCGUGGAUUUGACAUGGAUGAACCAAGGAAGCUUCGAUUGAUAAACCCAUUUGGCAAGACACUGAAGAGAAGACAAGUGCAGCAUCAAGAAGAACGUCUUCACUUUAACUAGUCUUGUAGCAUGAUGAUGCUUUUCAUGAUUCAAAAGGAAUGUAAUGAUGAUCAUCUUUACUAUAAUGAGAUUCAUUGACAACAAAUUAUUGCGUGGGUUUGCCUCCUAAUUUUGACGUUUAUUUAGAUGAAGUUUCCUACGAUUCAUA